UACAGAGGAGCCAAGCGUUGUCCGGAUUGACUGGGCGUAAAGCGCGUGUAGGCGGCUCUGUAAGUCGGAUGUGAAAUCCCACGGCUCAACCAUGGAAGUGCAUUCGAAACUGCAGGGCUAGAGUCCUGGAGAGGAAGGUGGAAUGCUUGGUGUAGAGGUGAAAUUCGUAGAUAUCAAGCGGAACACCGGUGGCGAAGGCGGCCUUCUGGACAGUGACUGACGCUGAGACGCGAAAGCGUGGGGAGCAAACAGG
rnacentral:rRNA from 1 species